GAUCCUGGCUCAGGAUGAACGCUAGCUACAGGCUUAACACAUGCAAGUCGAGGGGCAGCAUGGACCCAGCUUUGCUGGGUUUGAUGGCGACCGGCGCACGGGUGAGUAACGCGUAUCCAACCUGCCCUUUACUCCGGGAUAGUCUCCUGAAAGGGAGUUUAAUACCGGAUGUGUUUGUCUUUCCGCAUGGGAGCGACAAAUAAAGAUUAAUUGUAAGGAUGGGGGAUGCGUCCCAUUAGCUUGUUGGCGGGGG
rnacentral:rRNA from 1 species